rnacentral:lncRNA from 1 species
GAUUCCCUUUUAAUUUGCAGGGACUUUAUUCAUGUUUCGUCCUGAGCUCCAGGAUGAAGAAGUUGGAAAAAGAAAUGCAUGCUGGAUCUAGGGAGGUGUAGGACUUUGUUGUAAUGCCCUUUUUCUGGGAAUUUUGUUGUACUGGUGAUUUUGCUGAGAAUUUGGUGUAUAUUUGCUUGCACCAUGUUUACUUUAAAUUUAUUUUUGGAUUGGAAAAUAUAUUGGCAUUGAAUCUGGAUUGAAUGUAUAUCUAUGAUGUAAAUAUUAUUUGAUAUGAAGAGGCACAACCAAAAUCAAG